UAUCAUCGGCGGUAAUCGAAACCGCAACUCCGGGUUGGCAACUCGGCAUUUAACCAUUAAACUACGAUGAC
rnacentral:tRNA from 1 species